GAUCAGUGAUUAAAGUAACCAAAUUUGAGCAUCAGAAGACCUUCCAGUCUACUUGCUGAAUGAGCUGUACAGUUUUGAAA